UGGUCUAAUCAUAUCAACGUUAAUGCAUUUGAUCUCAUCAAAAAUUUACAAUUAAACUUGUUUGGACGAAAAGAGUAAUAUGAUGUUUGACCUUUGAGAAGUUAUUGUGUUGCACCUC
rnacentral:rRNA from 1 species